GACGAACGCUGGCGGCGUGCCUAAUACAUGCAAGUAGAACGCACAGUUUAUACCGUAGCUUGCUACACCAUAGACUGUGAGUUGCGAACGGGUGAGUAACGCGUAGGUAACCUGCCUGGUAGCGGGGGAUAACUAUUGGAAACGAUAGCUAAUACCGCAUAAUAUUGAUUAUUGCAUGAUAAUUAAUUGAAAGGUGCAAUUGCACCACUACCAGAUGGACCUGCGUUGUAUUAGCUAGUAGGUGAGGUAACGGCUCACCUAGGCGACGAUACAUAGCCGACCUGAGAGGGUGAUCGGCCACACUGGGACUGAGACACGUCCCAGACUCCUACGGGAGGCAGCAGUAGGGAAUCUUCGGCAAUGGACGAAAGUCUGACCGAGCAACGCCGCGUGAGUGAAGAAGGUUUUCGGAUCGUAAAGCUCUGUUGUAAGAGAAGAACGGGUGUGAGAGUGGAAAGUUCACACUGUGACGGUAUCUUACCAGAAAGGGACGGCUAACUACGUG
rnacentral:rRNA from 1 species